rnacentral:rRNA from 1 species
AUUGAACGCUGGCGGCAUGCCUUACACAUGCAAGUCGAACGGUAGAGGGGCAACCCUUGAGAGUGGCGAACGGGUGAGUAAUAUAUCGGAACGUGCCCAGUCGUGGGGGAUAACGUAGAGAAAUUUACGCUAAUACCGCAUACGAUCUAUGGAUGAAAGCGGGGGACCGUAAGGCCUCGCGCGAUUGGAGCGGCUGAUAUCAGAUUAGGUUGUUGGUGAGGUAAAAGCUCACCAAGCCGACGAUCUGUAGCUGGUUUGAGAGAACGACCAGCCACACUGGGACUGAGACACGGCCCAGACUCCUACGGGAGUCAGCAGUGGGGAAUUUUGGACAAUGGGCGAAAGCCUGAUCCAGCAAUGCCGCGUGCAGGAAGAAGGCCUUCGGGUUGUAAACUGCUUUUGUACGGAACGAAACGGUCCGCUUUAAUACAGUGGGCUAAUGACGGUACCGUAAGAAUAAGCACCGGCUAACUACGUGCCAGCCGCCGCCGUAAAAC